rnacentral:rRNA from 1 species
GACGAACGCUGGCGGCGUGCCUAAUACAUGCAAGUCGGGCGGACCGAACGAGGGCUUGCUCUUGUUUGGUCAGCGGCGGACGGGUGAGUAACACGUGGGCAACCUGCCCGCAAGACCGGGAUAACUCCGGGAAACCGGAGCUAAUACCGGAUAACACCGAAGACCGCAUGGUCUUCGGUUGAAAGGCGGUCUUUGGGCUGUCACUUGCGGAUGGGCCCGCGGCGCAUUAGCUAGUUGGUGAGGUAACGGCUCACCAAGGCGACGAUGCGUAGCCGGCCUGAGAGGGUGACCGGCCACACUGGGACUGAGACACGGCCCAGACUCCUACGGGAGGCAGCAGUAGGGAAUCUUCCGCAAUAGGCGAAAGCCUGACGGAGCGACGCCGCGUGAGCGAAGAAGGCCUUCGGGUCGUAAAGCUCUGUUGUGAGGGACGAAGGAGCGCCGUUCGAAGAGGGCGGCGCAGUGACGGUACCUCACGAGAAAGCCCCGGCUAACUACGUG